GGGAAAUCUGGGUGAACUUUCUCGGCCAAUGCAGGGAUCGAACAGCCGACCUCCAGGCUAGCGAGCCAGCGUUUUACCCACUUAGCCACCAUGACGACUAGGCAUGGAAUCCAUGCUGAAAAAUUCAAAUGAGCUUUCUCGGUCAACACUGGGAGCGAACCCGCAACCUCCCGGGUACCAAGCCAGUGCCUUACACACUAAGCCACAUGACUCUCUUCUAAUUACUGUGACAGUCCAGUCACAUGACAAACAAGGGUUAUUAAAACAGAUUUUCAAGGCUUGGGUAAGAUCUUCGGGAUUCAAAUGGUUUUAAAUAUCACACAGUUUGUAUAUGGUAAGGUAUCUUAAACAGUUUAUUACAUGUCACAUAUUCAUAUUUUUCAGUUUCCAUAUUAGAUGCCAUAGCAAAUCAAAGAUCAUAUAAUAAAAUAAGUCAAAAAACCCAAAUAUGGAAAAAGAAAGAGCUGAAGAAAUGGUGAUUUGAGCACCUAUGCUUUCUCAUAGGUGUUUUUGGAGGUUUCCAUAUUAGAUGCCAUAGCAAAUCAAAGAUCAUAUAAUAAAAUAAGUCAAAAAACCAAAAUAUGGGAAAAGAAAGAGCUGAAGAAAUGGUGAUUUGAGCACCUAUGAUUUCUCAUAGGUGUUUUUGGAGGUUAACUACAUCAUAAAGAUCAAGACAGUUGGAAAUGGCUAUUCAUAUUAUGGAAACUUUUUCUCACAGAGCUUGAUAAUCAGGUAAAAUG